CGGUAGCUCAGCUGGAUAGAGCAACAGCCUUCUAAGCUGUGGGUCACAGGUUCGAAUCCUGUUCG
rnacentral:tRNA from 1 species